rnacentral:lncRNA from 1 species
AAAAUUAGGUUGAAUGAACUAUUUUAUUUAAAAAUUAGCUCAUGCUUUCCAUGAAGGUCUACUUUUCCCUGUGAUCUUGCCCAAAUCCCUUAAUUUGUGUCACUUAGAAUAAAAUGACUGCUGAGCGUAAAGAAGAUUUGAAUUGUCUUCUGUAUUGCUAAAUAAUGGUUACCUGGGGAGAUACAAAAUUUAAAUUGGAAUUGUAUGAGCUAGAGCUGAUGAUAUAUUAGAUGUAUUAUAUCCAACCUGAGACCUCCAGUCAAGAGGGAAGGUCAUCUGUUAAAGAUGUUAAAAAGCGCUGCACCAGAAAAUGGAGCUGGAAUGAUUUGCAACAAUAGUCUGUGAUGUACUGAACCUGUACUGGACAAAUGCCCCGGAGAAGGGAGAGGAGUGUGAAUUACCUCAAAUUCUUCUCCAAGUAUUCCCAAUGAGAACAAGAUAAUUGGAAGUAGAUGGAGACUCCCCUCUUGUCUCCUCCUUGCUGAAGUGAAGCCAGAUUUCUGAGGGAGAAAUGUACUUGUCCUCCCUUAUGGGAGAGCCUUCCCAUGGAACAAGAUGGAAUCUCUGAUGCUUGGUGUUUCCUGGGGCUGGGUUCGGUAUUGCUGAAGGUUGGGGUUAAUAGCAUUAGCAUGAGCCAUCCAUCAGUGAAAUGCUAAGAAACAGCAGUAUUGCUAUUUAACUUAACUCUGUUUUUCUAGCUGUUAAUUAUUCUCCUUUUAUGUCUUUUCAUGUUUAAGCUGUGUAAUUGUGCAUAACAAAAUGUUUGUUAUUACCUGCUGUGAUUUUGAAUAAUUCGUGGUAUUAACAUGCAAUUUGGGACCAUCAUAUAUUCUCUUUGGAGCAGAAUGAACGUUCCUUUACUGUUUUUGUGUCUUUGAAGGUGUGUGGUAAUCAGGGUUUGGCUCACACAGUCUUUUCUCAACAAGUCAAUUUUGAAUCCACUGAACAAAAGGCAGAAUGAAGACACAGUAGAUAUGUGUGGCAUAUUAUUAAGAAAUAGCUUGUUGAGGUACAUGGUAACCUGAGCAAAGCAGCCCAGGACCUCUGCAAACAGCAGUGUCUUGUACUUCCAGUUAAUUUCUUCUGCAGAUGUAGUCAGUGACACCAGUGUGUUUAUCCCACACCAGUGUUACUGCUCCUACAAAUUUCAUUUCAUUGUGUUCUUAAUGGAUGGGUUAACCAUAUCUAAAAAUAAAAAAGUAUUUUUCCC